AGCGCUGGUGAGGGGGUUACAGCGCUGCAACUUAGGAGGUGUACACAUCUGCAGGGCACCACCAGCGCUGCAACUCCCUGUUUGCAGCGCUGGCCGUACUCCCGUUUUGUCUCGGGUGUAGAGGAUCCAGCGCUGGUGAUCCAGCGCUGGUAAUCAAGUAUAGACACUUACCAGCGCUUUUCUUGACCUCCGUGGAAUAAGCAGGUAUCCCAGCAUACCUGAGGAAGCCUCUGGUAAUCAAGCUGGUCUCCUUUCCCGGUUUGCUCUCGCGUUCCCCGAACCCCGAGCAAGCAGGUCUCCUUCCCUGCGGUUUGCAGGGUGGUUCGGGGAACGCGAGAGCAAACUGCGGCGAAGCUGGUCUCCUUUCCCGGUUUGCUCUCUCGUUCCCCGAACCCCCGAGCAAGCAGGUCUCCUUCCCUGCGGUUUGCAGGGUGGUUCGGGGAACGCGAGAGCAAACCGCGGCGAAGCUGGUCUCCUUUCCCGGUUUGCUCUCUCGUUCCCUGAACCCCCGAGCAAGCAGGUCUCCUUCCCUGCGGUUUGCAGGGUGGUUCGGGGAACACGAGAGCAAACCACGGCGAAGCUGGUCUCCUUCCCCGGUUUGCUCUCGCGUUCCCCGAACCCCCGAGCAAGCAGGUCUCCUUCCCUGCGGUUUGCAGGGUGGUUCGGGGAACGCGAGAGCAAACCGCGGCGAAGCUGGUCUCCUUUCCCGGUUUGCUCUCUCGUUCCCCGAACCCCCGAGCAAGCAGGUCUCCUUCCCUGCGGUUUGCAGGGUGGUCCGCGGAACGCGAG